rnacentral:rRNA from 1 species
GAGUUUGAUCCGGCUCAGGACGAACGCUGGCGGCGCGCCUAACACAUGCAAGUCGAACGGAGCUGAGAGGAGCUUGCUUUUCUUAGCUUAGUGGCGAACGGGUGAGUAACGCGUGAGUAACCUGCCCUGGAGUGGGGGACAACAGUUGGAAACGGCUGCUAAUACCGCAUAAGCCCACGAUCCGGCAUCGGAUUGAGGGAAAAGGAUUUAUUCGCUUCAGGAUGGACUCGCGUCCAAUUAGCUAGUUGGUGAGGUAACGGCCCACCAAGGCGACGAUUGGUAGCCGGACUGAGAGAGUGAACGGCCACAUUGGGACUGAGACACGGCCCAGACUCCUACGGGAGGCAGCAGUGGGGAAUAUUGCACAAUGGGCGAAACCCUGAUGCAGCGACGCCGCGUGAGUGAAGAAGUAUCUCGGUAUGUAAAGCUCUAUCAGCAGGGAAGAAAAUGACGGUACCUGACUAAGAAGCCCCGGCUAACUACGUGCCAGCCGCCGCGGUAAUAC